CAUGCAAGUUGAACGCUGUAGCAAUACGGAGUAGCGCACGGGUGCGUAACACGUGGGAAUAUGCCUUUUGGUACGGAACAACGUUUGGAAACGAACGCUAAUACCGUAUGGUCCCUCCGGGGUAAAGAUUUAUCGCCAAAAGAGUAGCCCGCGUCUGAUUAGCUAGUUGGCGAGGUAAUGGCUCACCAAGGCGACGAUCAGUAGCUGGUCUGAGAGGACGAUCAGCCACACUGGGACUGAGACACGGCCCAGACUCCUACGGGAGGCAGCAGUUAGGAAUCUUGGACAAUGGGCGAAAGCCUGAUCCAGCCAUGCCGCGUGAGUGAUGAAGGCCUUCGGGUUGUAAAGCUCUUUAGCCGAUGAAUAUAAUGACUGUAGUCGGAGAAUAAGCCCCGGCUAACUUCGUGCCAGCAGCCGCGGUAAUACAGAGGGUGCGAGCGUUAAUCGGAUUUACUGGGCGUAAAGCGUGCGUAGGCGGCUUUUUAAGUCGGAUGUGAAAUCCCUGAGCUUAACUUGGGAAUUGCAUUCGAUACUGGGAAGCUAGAGUAUGGGAGAGGAUGGUAGAAUUCCAGGUGUAGCGGUGAAAUGCGUAGAGAUCUGGAGGAAUA
rnacentral:rRNA from 1 species